GUUCAGGAUGCCUAGAGACAAAUGACAUGGAGAAAGGCCUCUGUGACAUAGGUCCCUAUUGGCACUGACUGUACAAGUGGAAAGACACCUAGACAGAAGGUGAGGAGGGAGCUCUAUUCUCCCUGCGCUUCCAUGGUGAGCCCUGUCCUGUGAUCUGCAGAGGUGUGAUGAGAGUCGCUACCAGCUUCUAAAAACCUUCAUUAUCAGGAGUAUCAUGAGAUAUCAUUCAGUACGCAGCAAUGCCUAGGGUGCAUCAGUACCCCCAUACUCAUAUGGAAGACUGCAGCCCAGACCAUGAG